AACGUAGGACGCAAGCGUUAUCCGGAGUUACUGGGCGUAAAGGGCGCGUAGGCGGGGAGGUAAGUCGGGUGUGAAAUCCCUCGGCUCAACCGAGGAACUGCGCCCGAGACUGCCUUUCUUGAGUCCCGGAGAGGAAGGUGGAAUUCCCGGUGUAGCGGUGAAAUGUGUAGAGAUCGGGAGGAACACCGGUGGCGAAGGCGGCCUUCUGGACGGUGACUGACGCUGAGGCGCGAAAGCGUGGGGAGCAAACGGG
rnacentral:rRNA from 1 species